UACGGAGGGUGCAAGCGUUAUCCGGAUUUACUGGGCUUAAAGGGUGUGUAGGCGGGUUAUUAAGUCAGUGGUGAAAUCUCCGAGCUCAACUUGGAAACUGCCAUUGAUACUAUUAGUCUUGAAUUUUGUUGAGGUAGGCGGAAUAAGUCAUGUAGCGGUGAAAUGCAUAGAUAUGACUUAGAACACCCAUUGCGAAGGCAGCUUGCUAAACAAAUAUUGACGCUGAGGCACGAAAGCGUGGGGAUCAAACAGG
rnacentral:rRNA from 1 species